AUUGAACGCUGGCGGCAGGCCUAACACAUGCAAGUCGAACGGUAACAGGAAACAGCUUGCUGUUUCGCUGACGAGUGGCGGACGGGUGAGUAAUGUCUGGGAAACUGCCUGAUGGAGGGGGAUAACUACUGGAAACGGUAGCUAAUACCGCAUAACGUCGCAAGACCAAAGAGGGGGACCUUCGGGCCUCUUGCCAUCGGAUGUGCCCAGAUGGGAUUAGCUAGUAGGUGGGGUAACGGCUCACCUAGGCGACGAUCCCUAGCUGGUCUGAGAGGAUGACCAGCCACACUGGAACUGAGACACGGUCCAGACUCCUACGGGAGGCAGCAGUGGGGAAUAUUGCACAAUGGGCGCAAGCCUGAUGCAGCCAUGCCGCGUGUAUGAAGAAGGCCUUCGGGUUGUAAAGUACUUUCAGCGGGGAGGAAGGGAGUAAAGUUAAUACCUUUGCUCAUUGACGUUACCCGCAGAAGAAGCACCGGCUAACUCCGUGCCAGCAGCCGCGGUAAUACGGAGGGUGCAAGCGUUAAUCGGAAUUACUGGGCGUAAAGCGCACGCAGGCGGUUUGUUAAGUCAGAUGUGAAAUCCCCGGGCUCAACCUGGGAACUGCAUCUGAUACUGGCAAGCUUGAGUCUCGUAGA
rnacentral:rRNA from 1 species